rnacentral:rRNA from 1 species
AGCAGUAGCCACGGGAAUACGAAGGGUGCAAGCGUUACUCGGAAUUACUGGGCGUAAAGCGUGCGUAGGUGGUGGUUUAAGUCCGUUGUGAAAGCCCUGGGCUCAACCUGGGAAUUGCAGUGGAUACUGGGUCACUAGAGUGUGGUAGAGGAUAGUGGAAUUUCCGGUGUAGCAGUGAAAUGCGUAGAGAUCGGAAGGAACAUCUGUGGCGAAGGCGACUAUCUGGGCCAACACUGACACUGAGGCACGAAAGCGUGGGGAGCAAACAGGAUUAGAUACCCGUGUAGUCCCUGUCUCUUAUAC